rnacentral:rRNA from 1 species
AUACAUGCAAGUCGAGCGAACAGACAAGGAGCUUGCUCCUUUGACGUUAGCGGCGGACGGGUGAGUAACACGUGGGUAACCUACCUAUAAGACUGGGAUAACUUCGGGAAACCGGAGCUAAUACCGGAUAAUAUUUCGAACCGCAUGGUUCGAUAGUGAAAGAUGGUUUUGCUAUCACUUAUAGAUGGACCCGCGCCGUAUUAGCUAGUUGGUAAGGUAACGGCUUACCAAGGCGACGAUACGUAGCCGACCUGAGAGGGUGAUCGGCCACACUGGAACUGAGACACGGUCCAGACUCCUACGGGAGGCAGCAGUAGGGAAUCUUCCGCAAUGGGCGAAAGCCUGACGGAGCAACGCCGCGUGAGUGAUGAAGGUCUUCGGAUCGUAAAACUCUGUUAUUAGGGAAGAACAUACGUGUAAGUAACUAUGCACGUCUUGACGGUACCUAAUCAGAAAGCCACGGCUAACUACGUGCCAGCAGCCGCGGUAAUACGUAGGUGGCAAGCGUUAUCCGGAAUUAUUGGGCGUAAAGCGCGCGUAGGCGGUUUUUUAAGUCUGAUGUGAAAGCCCACGGCUCAACCGUGGAGGGUCAUUGGAAACUGGAAAACUUGAGUGCAGAAGAGGAAAGUGGAAUUCCAUGUGUAGCGGUGAAAUGCGCAGAGAUAUGGAGGAACACCAGUGGCGAAGGCGACUUUCUGGUCUGUAACUGACGCUGAUGUGCGAAAGCGUGGGGAUCAAACAGGAUUAGAUACCCUGGUAGUCCACGCCGUAAACGAUGAGUGCUAAGUGUUAGGGGGUUUCCGCCCCUUAGUGCUGCAGCUAACGCAUUAAGCACUCCGCCUGGGGAGUACGACCGCAAGGUUGAAACUCAAAGGAAUUGACGGGGACCCGCACAAGCGGUGGAGCAUGUGGUUUAAUUCGAAGCAACGCGAAGAACCUUACCAAAUCUUGACAUCCUUUGACAACUCUAGAGAUAGAGCUUUCCCCUUCGGGGGACAAAGUGACAGGUGGUGCAUGGUUGUCGUCAGCUCGUGUCGUGAGAUGUUGGGUUAAGUCCCGCAACGAGCGCAACCCUUAAGCUUAGUUGCCAUCAUUAAGUUGGGCACUCUAAGUUGACUGCCGGUGACAAACCGGAGGAAGGUGGGGAUGACGUCAAAUCAUCAUGCCCCUUAUGAUUUGGGCUACACACGUGCUACAAUGGACAAUACAAAGGGCAGCGAAACCGCGAGGUCAAGCAAAUCCCAUAAAGUUGUUCUCAGUUCGGAUUGUAGUCUGCAACUCGACUACAUGAAGCUGGAAUCGCUAGUAAUCGUAGAUCAGCAUGCUACGGUGAAUACGUUCCCGGGUCUUGUACACACCGCCCGUCACACCACGAGAGUUUGUAACACCCGAAGCCGGUGGAGUAACCAUUUGGAGCUAGCCGUCGAAGGUGGGACAA